UACGGGGGGGGCAAGCGUUGUUCGGAAUUACUGGGCAUAAAGGGCUCGUAGGCGGCCAACUAAGUCCGACGUGAAAUCCCCAGGCUUAACCUGGGAACUGCGUCGGAUACUGGAUGGCUUGAAUCCGGGAGAGGGAUGCGGAAUUCCAGGUGUAGCGGUGAAAUGCGUAGAUAUCUGGAGGAACACCGGUGGCGAAGGCGGCAUCCUGGACCGGCAUUGACGCUGAGGAGCGAAAGCCAGGGGAGCAAACGGG
rnacentral:rRNA from 1 species